GGAUGAGAGAGUGAUCUGGCUGCAACAUCUGUCCACAUCUGUCACCCACUGAUCGCCAAGGUUGAUAUGGCUAAUCUGGCUGGCUAUUCCCUUCCUCCCUUAUCACUCCUUAUCAUUCCCUUCCUCCCUUAUCACUCCAAGGCUAUUCCCUUCCUCCCUUAUCACUCCGCACUUGGUCAAAGAGGACUGCCUUCCCCAAAUAGAGACUGACCAACAUUAGGCCGAGGGUAUUCGAGUGGCUAUGCUCCCCUGCUAGAACCUCCAAACAAGCUCUCAAGGUCCAAUAAAAUGGGAGGGGGGACCAGGAGCAAUGGAUUCAUAAUGUAU
ensembl:misc_RNA 7SK 7SK RNA